ensembl:lncRNA
CUUCCAAUCCCCAUGCACCAGCAUUUCCCUGCAGCAGCCUCAUUAAGGGCUGGUUUCAAAGCUCCUUCACAGGAGAGGAUAAUGAUGCCAAGGAAGAGCAGAUUUCUUGGGGGAAAGGGCAGGAGAGCGCUGUGAGCCUAAUGUGGAAACAGGCUCCCACUCCUGUCUCCACCACAAGAAGGCCAGAGAAGAGAACUGGGUCCGGGAAAGAGGGUCAUGGCUCUUCUUCUCUGUCCCAGCUGGCGCUCAGGGUGAGACAAGGAAGUUGAUGCUGACUGUCCAUCCUUGGAAGUGUGUCCAGAACCAUGGGAGCCAUAUGGCCACCAGCUGGAGAAUAAAGCCAACGUGGGAGAUGAUGGAGCUGAUGAAAAUACCCAGGACUAGAACAAAGCUGAAAGUACCAUGCCCAGACAUCACUGGAAGACACACAGGUCUUUAUUGGCCUGAGUGAGGCAAGGUUCCAGUUGUUUGUAUCCCAAAGCCUUCGAACUCAUAGCCAAGUGUGCCCUGGAGUUUACUCACUUCGCUCAUGAAACAUUAUGUUAGACACUGAGUUCCAGUACACAAGCUUGUCCAAUUUCUCAGUUCUAGGAAGCAGGCUUAUCUGAUCUCCCAGUUCAGGGCAGAUUAGAACUAGCAAGUGAGAGGUAGAUGAAGUGAGGGCAGCUGGUCAGGGAGGGAAGAGACACAGGUGGAAACCAGCACACAAGAUGUGGCACUGGAGGGCCAUCGAGUGUCCAGACAAACAGGUGCUCCCCUUCUGCCGCCCCAGUGUGUGCUGGAUACAGGCCAGUGACUGAGCCAUCACGACGGCCACGUGUCGUCAAAGGAAGUUUGCUUUCUUUCUGUUUUAGGAGGGGGAUGAGGCUGAAAAAUGUUUAAUAACACUACUUUGUAAACAAGGAAAAGGUUAAAUGAUUAAAAGGGUACACUUAUCUGAAAAGUCACACAGAGAACAAACUCACUAAACUCAACGAAUGAGUAUAAUAUACCCACAGAGAUGCAUGCAAAUAGAACCUCUAGAAAGUCAUCCAGAGAAAAGGAGGGAAAGAGCAGCAGGCAGUAGUCUGCUUGCUACGGAGAGCACUUCAUUUCAGGGUCCGCACGAGAAGCCCUGGAGAAGCCAAGCUGGCGACUGAGUACAAGGCUUUGCUCUUCUGCCAGUGGCUUGAAUAGACUCUGGUGGCUCAGAGAGCUGCCUAAGCUAUUCUCUCAGAAGCCCACUAGUGGGAAACAAAUAAGCUGCUUGACUUUUCUUGGUAGGAGGGGGUUGAACACUCCUAAUUCAAUGUAAAUAAUUCUCAAAGCCAAGCACUUGCAGCAAAAAUGACUGGAAUGGUCACAGACACUAAAACUGUGCCGUGCAAAACAGGUCCUGGGUCUCUGUGUGCACAAACACAGAGCCCAGCAGCUGAUGUAGUUACUCCGGGAGAAGCCACUCCAACCCAGUCAUUCCCAGCUACAUGCCGGGUGCCAGGGAGCUGCUACACUCCACUGGCACCAGAGUCUAAAGUUUGGGGUGGCUUGUUUACCAAGGAUGUGGGCAUGAAGGAUGCAGUGCUGAGGUGUGAGACGAACAUGGGGGUUCUCUGCAAUCCUCCAGUCACCUUUCAAUCUUGCAGAGCCUACACCCAACAGAGCACUGCUCUGCUUUAACACAGAAACUUACAAAUAUGCAAAUCAAGGUAAAUAAAAAGGAAAAAUUGGGUACCUUUUCUGAUUACUCACCCAUUUGUGUGUGUGUUACACACAAUUUUUAAAUGAACAGUAGGUGAUGUAUGAACCUCAGUGUUAUUUAAGGAAAACCCAUAAACAAUUAAAUAAAUUUACCAAGAAUGAAACGUAAGACUUUAGAUUAGUGGUUUCGAGUGGUCUUUUUUUACUUCAUGCAAGAAUAUUACCACCUACACUGAGACUGUGCUACUAGUAAAUUAUGAUUAUUAUCAUCAACCCAUUAUUAGUCAACAAUUUGCUGGCAUGGUCCUAAAUAAUCUACAUUCAUUAUCUUAUUUUAUUAUCAUAAUAGCAUGAGUCUAAGUAUUAAACCAGUUUUACUGAUGGAGAAAAUGAGGCCUAGAGCUGUGAUUUGCUGGGGGAGCCAGAACAAGGAAAAGCUUGGGGUCCCAGAAAACACAGAUUCAUCCCAGAGGCAAAGGCUUAAUCACACCAGAGUUACAACAAUAGAUUCAUCUGCUGAUGGACAUACUGGAUGUGCUACUUCUAAAGUUGAGCAAUCGUGAAUUGUGCUGCUAUAAACGCAUGUCGGGGGUCUUUGGACCUUGGCCUCCAGGCAGACUGCUCAGAGAAGGGAAGAGGACAGACUACAAGGCAGAGCCUCUGAGCAGACGCAAGAAAGGCCCUGGGAGACUGGAGCCAUGCCUAACACCAGCCCCUGCCCACAUUCCCCGUCGGAUGGGGCUUGUGCUGGGGUCUGCCUGGAUCGCCUGCUCAUCCACGAGGCAGGGAAGAAGCAGCACGCGGCUCCUCUCCCACUCAGGACGUGGGCUGUACACUGCACUUCUUUGGGCUUCAGCUUCUGCAUCGGUAAAGCACACCGAGGGACAUUCAUACUUCACCAGAUUCUUGAGUGAUUUAAAUAACCCCCUACAAACAAGCGCUUAGAACAGAGCCUGCAAAUACCAAACCCUCACUAUUUAUCUGUUGUUUUCACCAUUUAAUAAACUAAUCCCCGACAUAGGUACAGUGGUUAGAAUCGUGUCACAGAGGAGAAAACUGAUUUGAGAGACAAUAAUGGUUUACCUAAUGGCGUCCAGAAUGCAAGUGCCUGGGAUUCCUGAACUGACUGUCCAACUCGAGGGCUAUUAUUACCUCUUUGUUUUUAGAUAAGAAGGCAAUGGUGUGUGUCUUGACAUUCUGUAGAGUAAUUCUACAGUUUACCUAAAAGAAUAAGGAAGAAAUGUUUGUUUAAAAAAAUAGAAAAAUAAUGGGUGAUAAGUCAUACAUGAUUGCAUCAAAAAGGUAAACAUUUCUAUGUGAAAAUAGAAGAUAAUUAGGGUGAAGGCAGUGUUCUUUAUCUUGAUUGUGGGGUUACACAACUAUAAUUGUAGCCAAAAUUUUUUAAAAUUUACAUUUAAAAGGGGAGAAUUUUGUGUGUGAAAAUUAUACCACCAUAAAAACUUGAGAAAAAGGUAAUUAUAAUUUAAAAAGGAAGAAAUCAACUAGGCAGAAAUGUUGCCUAUAACAUAUUUGCUAGAGCACCAACCAAAGCCAAACAAUCAUAACCUAUGGCCCAGCAGUUCUAGCCCUGAGUAUACACCCAGAAAGGAGCACAUAUCUGCCAGGUGAAAUGUAAAGAGAUGUUCCUAGUUGCUUUAUCUGUAAUAGCUCCAGAUUACAAACAACCCAAAUUUCCAUCAACAAUAGAAUGGUUAAGAAAUCGUGGUAUUCAGACAAUAGAAAACUACAGAGAAAUGAAAAAGAAUGAACUCAAUAUAUAACAUAGACGAAUUUUCCAAACCUAAUGUUUCAUUUCAGAAGCUUAACCCAACCAAACACACACAGGAUGGCUCCAUGUGUAAGAAGUCUGGAACACGCUAAGCUGGUCCACAAUGACAGAAAAGUCAUGACUUGGCAGUGGCCACUGCUAACUGGCAGGGGACAUGGGAAGCCUUAGGGUGCUGGGACUGUCCUAUAUCUCCACCUGGGAGUUAGUUAUAUGGGUGUGUACAUAUGUAAAUAUUGGUUGAGCUAUGUAUUUAAGAACAUUCACUUUUCUCUAUGUUAAGUUACACAUAAAAAAGACCUAAUCUGAAUUUUUUAAAAUGGGCAAAGGACUUGAGAUCAGGAAAGAAGCAAUCUUAACUGACUUAACUAUUAUGGACACAUAGUUACACAUGCCAAAUCACUAAUCACACAAAUGCAAAUGAAAAGUUUUUCUGAAAUUAUAAUGCCUCUAUUUGAGGGACAUGAAGUUAUGCGCAAGGCCCUGAGAUGAAGAUUUUUGAGGCAAGUGAUUCUCAAGGAACUUCUGAAACAAGAACCCAGAAAGCAGAAAAGGAAGAGGAAGAAGAUGCCAAGAAAGGGCACAGUUUCAGGAGAUCUUGCCUGCUCAGCACUGUCCCGUGGGAACUGUGAGAUGCAUUGACUCCACAUACAGUGGACUCUCGAGUUAGACUGGACUAACAUAUGAACGACUUGGGUUAUGACCGGAAUUUUAGUUUUAACUUAUAACCAAAGUCUUGAGUUACCAUCCAAAUGCCUGCCACUUGUUCUUCCAGAUGGUCUCAGAUACAAAUUUAACCCUUAAAGAGUGCUGGAGGGAAUAUGACAACAUCCUUUUCUGUGUGGGGUUCACUGAGAAAUCCUGGGCCAAUGUCUCUCUAAGGACACUGAGAUCUGCCAGUGUACAGGAGAGAGACUUUGAGGGCUGUGUAGAGGAGGCUGACCCUUCAAUUGACCAACUUGAGUUACAGCCAGCGAACUGAGUUUGUAAGUCAAGGGUCCAUGGUAUUUUAUUCUGUCUCAAGGUGAAUCCUCUAGGCUUUCAUAGUCUCUAGUGCUCAGGGCCAUUGACUCUCGCUCCCGCACAGACUUCUAGCUUGCAGUGCCCUGGGCAGUUCUCUGCAGAAGGGAGCGGGGGAUGGGCACAGAGAGACAAACAAGCAGAAGGAUCCUAGUCAGAGCUCUGGUAAGCUUCUGUGAUAACUGCCUUGCUGCAGGGUUGGAGAUUAUCAACCUGAAGGUUUCAUCUUUGCACAAGAUUGAACUGACCAAUUGCGACAGAAAAGCCAGUGGAGAAAUAAAGUCAGGAGUGAAUGACCGAAUGGUCUUUCCUGGAAAAGGCUAGGUCUUCAGUGUAACCUCUCCACAUUUUAUGUGAAAUAGGUGCUUUGUUCCCAGUGUUGGCAGAAGGGAGAUGUGGGAGAUUUGUGGACAAUGAAGUGAGGAGUGGAUUCCUUGGGGAAGGACUCAGAUCCUAGUUAAAUCUUGGAAUCGAUGAGUCAUGGCUAUGUCACAGCAGAGCGUUUGGGUUGUGAAACUGAGUGUGUUCUUCCUGGCGGGCCUAUUCGGUCACCCUCAAUCCUUGUCCCCAAGCGCAGUCCCUUCUGUCCUGGAGUUCUUUGCUCCUAACUGCGUUUGAUCUUCAUGACAUCUUGUGAGGCAGCAAGAUCAGCUGUUUUCCAGAUGAGUAAACUGAGGCCAGAUAGGUUAACUUCUUGUUCCUCAAAUUCAGCAGCACAUUGCAAUCAUUUGCUGGAGUUUUGUAAACUGUUACUUGGAAUGCUUGUGUAUGAGGACCAAUUGCUGUUUUUAAAACAGUUCCCAAGGUGAUCCUGAAAUACAGCCAGAUCUGGAAAAAGAGGGAUUACAUGACAUUUCCAGUGUCCUGAGAGAAUAAGAGAACACUCAUUCUUGGGUCAUUAAUCUAUCCUUUUCACUCAUUCACCCAUUUAUGGAGCAUUUACUGCGAAUACUAGGAAUGCAACAGUCAGAAGUGGAACAGUGACAAUUCUGCUGGCAUCUUAAGAGAUUACAGGUGGGAAGGUUGGGGCAUCAGGUGAGAGGAACACAGUGUAGCACUGUGGUGUUCCCACGAAACUGUCCAUGCUGUCAGGCAGACGGACCCGCUAUGAACUUGGGGAUAAGAGAGACAUUGAACUAAUCAUUCCGAAAGUGAUCAAAAUUCCUAAAACUCAAGUUUUCAUGCAUUUGGGGAACGAUAAUGUCAAUCAUCUUCACACACAGGAGAGUCGCUGGCCAUGUUGGGCCAUUGGCACCGUCUGUGAAGAGAAUCAAAUCUGCUGUUAUACACAUCAAAUGCCC